rnacentral:rRNA from 1 species
ACGAACGCUGGCGGCGUGCCUCAUACAUGCAAGUAGGACGCUGAAGAGAGGAGCUUGCUCUUCUUGGAUGAGUUGCGAACGGGUGAGUAACGCGUAGGUAACCUGCCUUGUAGCGGGGGAUAACUAUUGGAAACGAUAGCUAAUACCGCAUAACAAUGGAUGGCACAUGUCAUUUAUUUGAAAGGGGCAAUUGCUCCACUACAAGAUGGACCUGCGUUGUAUUAGCUAGUAGGUGAGGUAACGGCUCACCUAGGCGACGAUACAUAGCCGACCUGAGAGGGUGAUCGGCCACACUGGGACUGAGACACGGCCCAGACUCCUACGGGAGGCAGCAGUAGGGAAUCUUCGGCAAUGGGGGCAACCCUGACCGAGCAACGCCGCGUGAGUGAAGAAGGUUUUCGGAUCGUAAAGCUCUGUUGUAAGUCAAGAACGAGUGUGAGAGUGGAAAGUUCACACUGUGACGGUAGCUUACCAGAAAGGGACGGCUAACUACGUG